AUUCAAAUUCCUGAGUGGUCACGGACUUGGAGGGAACAACUUGCUGGCCUUUGUGAUGAGACAGCAGAGAAAGCGGGACAGGAAAGACAGGGAAGAGAGAGGAGAUGACAUGCAGCAAAGGACCUGAAGUCUGGCUUGAACCCAAGUUACCAUCGCAAGGACUCCCCCAGAAUUGAUCAUGUCAAGACCACAGUGAAGACCUGAUGGACAACAUGAGACUCUACAAUCAGAGCUGGUGACUGGUGAAUGCUGAGCGAAUCUUUACCCAUGAUCAACCCAGGUCAAGUGGCUCAUUCAUGGACUAAUCCUUAUAUGGACACAUGAUGCUUUGUGAGUAUACUUGACAUGUUGGAUCAGUUCCAUCUUUUUUCAGAGAAUGUGUUAAUGCAAGAACAGUUUCUUCAGGUUUGUCAAUGAUAGUUGGCACAACGGGCUUUAUUUGCUAUUUUGUUAAUCACUAUAGGGUUUUAGGCUGUUGCUGACUGGAAAAUCUGUGCCAGCCAAUUGUAAUUCCUCAUGUGUUUUACUGUAUUUUUUAAGAUGACAUUACUGGCAACCACACCUGCCAGUAAUUUACCGUAUAUUUGGAAAACCAACUGUAAUUUCUAAUAUGUUGUACUGUAUUUUUUACGAUGAAAUUCUGGCAACCACAGCUGCCAGUAAUUUACUGUAAAUUUUAAC